rnacentral:lncRNA from 1 species
UUAGUGUGCCUGGAAUCCAUUUCAUAUUUCAUGGAAUCUAGCAUUAAAGUUUAAAAUGGACCCUUGGUAGGCCAUCGACUCAUUUUCAUCCAUGAGUAAGACAUCACAUUGCUUAGUUAUGAUAAAAUGGACCCUUGGUAGAGUCCAAAAUGGAAUCUAGCAUUAAACAUUUCAAAAUUUGGAUGCCAAAAGGUUUGAGAAUGAUUCAAAAAAUAAAU